rnacentral:RNase_P_RNA from 1 species
CCAGAGGGUUGGGCGACCGCUGCUGCGCAGGUGACUGCGCGGGGGAGGAAAGUCCGGGCUCCAGCGAGGAACGGUGCCGGAUAACGUCCGGCGGGGGCGACCCCAGGGAAAGUGCCACAGAAAAUACACCACCGUGCAUUCGUGCCGGCCAGGUCGAAAUGGUGCGGUAAGAGCGCACCGCGCCCCUGGUAACAGGGGUGGCAGGGCAAACCCCACCGGGAGCAAGACCGAAUAGGGGCGGCGCAUGGCAUCCUCCUGCCAGUCGCCCGGGUUGGUUGCUUGACCCCUGAUGCAAAUCCGGGGCUAGAGGAAUGGUCGCACAGCCCCCG